GACGUAGGGCGCGAGCGUUGUCCGGAUUUAUUGGGCGUAAAGAGCUCGUAGGCGGCUUGUCGCGUCGACUGUGAAAUCCCGCGGCUCAACUGCGGGUCUGCAGUCGAUACGGGCAGGCUAGAGUUCGGUAGGGGAGACUGGAAUUCCUGGUGUAGCGGUGAAAUGCGCAGAUAUCUGGAGGAACACCGGUGGCGAAGGCGACGUCCUGGACCGGCAUUGACGCUGAGGCGCGAAAGCCAGGGAGCAAACGGG
rnacentral:rRNA from 1 species